GAUGAACGCUAGCUACAGGCUUAACACAUGCAAGUCGAGGGGAAACGAUAGAGAAAGCUUGCUUUUUCUAGGCGUCGACCGGCGCACGGGUGAGUAACGCGUAUCCAACCUGCCCAUCACUUGGGGAUAACCUUGCGAAAGUAAGACUAAUACCCAAUGAUAUCUCUAGAAGACAUCUGAAAGAGAUUAAAGAUUUAUCAGUAAAGGAUGGGGGAUGCGUCCCAUUAGCUUGUUGGCGGGGUAACGGCCCACCAAGGCGACGAUGGGUAGGGGUUCUGAGAGGAAGGUCCCCCAUAUUGGAACUGAGACACGGUCCAAACUCCUACGGGAGGCAGCAGUGAGGAAUAUUGGUCAAUGGGCGCGAGCCUGAACCAGCCAAGUAGCGUGGAGGACGACGGCCCUACGGGUUGUAAACUCCUUUUAUAAGGGGAUAAAGUUGGCCAUGUAUGGCCAUUUGCAGGUACCUUAUGAAUAAGCAUCGGCUAAUUCCGUG
rnacentral:rRNA from 1 species